GACGAACGCUGGCGGCGUGCUUAACACAUGCAAGUCGAACGGAAAGGCCCUGCUUUUGUGGGGUGCUCGAGUGGCGAACGGGUGAGUAACACGUGAGUAACCUGCCCUUGACUUUGGGAUAACUUCAGGAAACUGGGGCUAAUACCGGAUAGGAGCUCCUGCUGCAUGGUGGGGGUUGGAAAGUUUCGGCGGUUGGGGAUGGACUCGCGGCUUAUCAGCUUGUUGGUGGGGUAGUGGCUUACCAAGGCUUUGACGGGUAGCCGGCCUGAGAGGGUGACCGGCCACAUUGGGACUGAGAUACGGCCCAGACUCCUACGGGAGGCAGCAGUGGGGAAUAUUGCACAAUGGGCGGAAGGCUGAUGCAGCCACGCCGCGUGCGGGAUGACGGCCUUCGGGUUGUAAACCGCUUUCGCCUGUGACGAAGCGUGAGUGACGGUAAUGGGUAAAGAAGCACCGGCUAACUACGUG
rnacentral:rRNA from 1 species